AAAAUAAAUAAAAAAUAAAUAGCCUCAGCCUACCAUAGGCUAUAUGUAAGUAAUCACAGUAAACAUAAACCUCACAGCACUGACAAAUCCCAUAACACAAACACCCACAUGCAUGCACACUGCAUUAAUUUCAUGAUAAACAUAUAUCAGCUGAUAUGAUUUUGGAAUAUGGAAAUCAUGUUAAUUUGUUAUUUUCUAGAUGGGACCUACAUAUGGAAGAAGGAUGAUAAAGGGGUAUCUCGCUAUGAAAGGAGUGCAUGCAGCAGAGACACGAAUUGGAUCAGUGCUCAGAACCAUGCAUCAGCCUUACCAUGAAGCAAGACGUCAGGCCUGCAGUACUUGCCUAUGGUAUGUGGGACCAGGUGCGAGUAGAUCAUGGCAAGGAGUUUUAUUUGACGCUCUUCAUGCAGGAGCAGCUGUCAUCUCAUCGCCAUAAUCAGGAGAGAAGGCCUUAUUUACAGACUUCAUCCACAAGGGUACAGUUCAAUAGUUUGUGUGGUUGCUUCAGUAACACAGUAUUUGUUGUAUGCCUGCUUUUAUUAUUAUUACUUUUAUUGGGUUUGCUUCAGCAGCAUACUGUUUUCUUGGUUACAUUAUAUACAUUUUCUUUACUAUUGCUAGGUUUUCUAAAUGUUAGGGUAAACAUAUCAAUAAACAUAACAUUAACCUUGGCCAAGAACAGCUUUCUUUUUAUAAUAUGGUUAGUGUUUAUUCAAACUUUAUAUUGUAGUUACAUGAUGUUUUUUUAUGUUACAGUCCAUUUGGGAAAAUGGUCCUUAAGCAGAAUUCCUGGUAAAACUCUCAAUUUACUAGCUCAGUGGUCAAUGCACAUAAUACCCAUUUAGGUGGUCAAUAUGCAGAUUUCCUGGUAAUUAUGCAUAAUGACUGCUGAGUUGGUAAAUUUAAAGAUUUACUUGGAAUUCUGCAUAAUGACCAUUUUUCCUUAAUGGACCGUAACAUAUAUAUUUUUCAUUAACCCACCAGAACGAAUAUACUUAUGACAAAUCUUUGUGCAAUUUCAGAACCAUAUAGUUGAACGAGUCUGGCCUGAGGUCAACAAUUGUGUCAAUUAUCCACUGAAGACAGCCCUUCUGCAGUUGGUGGAUCAAGAGGAACUAGACAUGGACGACAACCUUGUGAGAUACUGUGUGUCCAACCUGACUGGCCAGUUGUGCCAGAUUGGUCUCACAAGGAUGGUGGACUCAUGGAAUGCUCACCGAAUUCCAGGUGAAAUAAACCAGUGUUGCGAAGAUUAAAAUAAUUACAACGGGCAUUCAUAAGUUUUGAGACCAACAGUAUGUUCUUUAUUUUACAGGUAAAGGUAUACCAAAUGACUUGGCUGGCAGUGGGUGUCCCAAAAAAAUCCCACAGGAGCUGUUGCCUCAUUCAGCUGAAGCAGCAGACCUUCACGGACAACAGCUGGGAUCCUCACUGACAACACAUUCUGCUUUUGGAGUUGAUCCAUUUUCAACUGAACAGGACAAACUUACAGUCGAGAAUCAGUUUGCAGAGAAAUAUUCGACAUUUCAGACUUAAUGGACCGUAACAUAUAUAUUUUUCAUUAACCCACCAGAACGAAUUUACUUAUGACAAAUCUUUGUGCAAUUUCAGAACCACAUAGUUGAACGAGUCUGGCCUGAGGUCAACAAUCGUGUCAAUUAUCCACUGAAGACAGCCCUUCUGCAGUUGGUGGAUCAAGAGGAACUAGACAUGGACGACAACCUUGUGAGAUACUGUGUGUCCAACCUGACUGGCCAGUUGUGCCAGAUUGGUCUCACAAGGAUGGUGGACUCAUGGAAUGCUCACCGAAUUCCAGGUGAAAUAAACCAGUGUUGCGAAGAUUAAAAUAAUUACAACGGGCAUUCAUAAGUUUUGAGACCAACAGUAUGUUCUUUAUUUUACAGGUAAAGGUAUACCCAAUGACUUGGCUGGCAGUGGGUGUCCCAAAAAAAUCCCACAGGAGCUGUUGCCUCAUUCAGCUGAAGCAGCAGACCUUCACGGACAACAGCUGGGAUCCUCACUGACAACACAUUCUGCUUUUG
rnacentral:lncRNA from 15 species